GCCCGUGUCGCUCAGUGGUUAGAGCAUUCGCCCACACACCAAAGGGUUGCAGGUUCAAUUCCUGGUCAAGGGCA
rnacentral:tRNA from 1 species